AUUGAACGCUGGCGGCAGGCCUAACACAUGCAAGUCGAACGAGUGGCGGACGGGUGAGUACUGUCUGGGACACUGCCUGAUGGAGGGGGAUAACUACUGGAAACGGUAGCUAAUACCGCAUACCAUCAGAUGUGCCCAGAGGGGAUUAGCUUGGUGGUGGGGUAACGGCUAACCAAGGCGACGAUCCCUAGCUGGUCUGAGAGGAUGACCAGCCACACUGGAACUGGGCCACGGGCCAGACUCCGACGGGAGGCAGCUGUGGGGAAUAUUGCACAAGGGGCGCAAGCCUGAUGCAGCCAUGCCGCGUGUAUGAAGAAGGCCUUCGGGUUGUAAAGUACUUUCAGCGGGGAGGCGUUACCCGCAGAAGAAGCAACGACUAACUCCGUGCCAGCAGCCGCGGUAAUUC
rnacentral:rRNA from 1 species